AUGCAUGGUCGUGUUCAUCGGGAGGGCUUGGACGGAACAGGCGAUGAAAACGAGGCCUGGCGUAAGGAAACAGACCUCCUACAUUCAGAACGGGGUCCUGUUGAUCGGGAGGGGUGUGGCGUACCGCAAAACGGAGGAAACGGAUCUCCUACGGUCGAAACAGGGGUCCUGUUGAUCGGGAGGGGUGUGGCGUACCGCAAAACGGACGAAACAGACUUGUGUUGGAGCACUACGGUCGAAACGGGGGUCUUGUUGAUCGGGAGGGGUGCGGCGUACAGCAAAACCGACGAAACGGACUUGUGUUGGAGCGCUACGGUCGAAACGGGGGUCCUGUUGAUCGGGAGGGGUGUGGCGUACCGCAAAACGGACGAGACAGACUUGUGUUGGAGCGCUACGGUCGAAACGGGGGUCCUGUUCAUCGGGAGGGGUGUGGCGUACCGCAAAACGGGACUCCACGGGAUAGUGUUCAUCUCCACCGUCGACCUCCUCCAGCCUGCACGGGCUACCAUCGACCUCCUCCAGCCUCCACGGGCUCCUAUUCAUCCAGCCUCCACCGCGCGCUACUCCACCGGCUACUGUUCAACCACCCCUCCACGGGCACCCCUCCACCGUAUACUGUUCAUCCAGAGGCAACGCCACUGCUCACUGUUCAUCCAACCCCCCCCCUGCAAUGCUCUCUGUUCAUCCAAUCGAUCGGCUUCAGUUAGCAGCAGUAGCAAAGGAAUCACUCCAUCGGGUUCGGUUCACAGCCAUCGAUCGAUCGCUCGGGUUUAG
rnacentral:rRNA from 1 species